UCCCAGCUGCAGCUGCUUGCAGAACCAGAGGAGAAACGUGUGGGAGCCGGAAGGAAAGGCACUGAGAAAAGCAUUUGCAGGGCCCACAGCUGCCAGCAGAGCAGGAAGCUCUUAGGGUUCCUGCCGUGUGGAUUCAGAGGGAGAUCAACUGGGAAGCAGGGAGAGGUGACAUCGUGGCUCUGAAUCCUCUCCAGCAAUCUGCUCUAAUGUUCUGAUAAGCAGAGGUAUACAAUAACUCAUCUGUCAAGCAAAGCAGUACCAUCAGCUUCCAAUGCUUCAACCUCUACGGCAGAUCCUUUCUUUUGGAAAAUAAUCCCUUUGCAGCCUGCAUUUAAUGUCUGCAACUUGAUACCUGCCGCUACGCAUGCAAGAUCAGAGCUGAGAUGUGCUCCUGUCUGAGCUGGCUCUGGAUGGAGGUGGUGUGAGUUAGUGACUUCAUGAAGCUCCUUUUAAAUGCAGUAAAAGAAACAUUUCUCUGCUUUUCUGCAGAGGCUCCUUUUCAGCUGCAUAGUGCCUCAGAGUUCUCUCUCCCAGUUAGAACAGAGCUGCUAUUCCUCCUUUCUUCUUGUUCUGUUUGUUUAUUAUGGACUCUUCAGGGAAGUCGAAUCUGCCCUUCUGGCAGACAUCUAUGACUCCUCAGCAUUCAAGGAGUUUGACAGCCCAUGUGUUGAGUAAGCACUCCCUUAGGUAAGGGCUCAGAGACGUGAAGAAGAAAGUCGUGGCUUUUAAGUUCUGCUCUUGCUGGUGGCUGUAUUGUGUGGCAAUGUGCUGGGAGAACUGACACCCUGGGGAGGUGAGAAGUGAGGUGCUGUAGAUGUGGGUUGGUCAUUGAGCUGCACCACAGCACGACUGCACUGAAUCAGUGGCAAGGAGCAAUGCCUCACACAGCUCUGCCUCCUUCAGGGGAUGUUCGUGGAAGCACUGAAAUGGCAGAAAACUCAUCUGUCACCUAAACAGUUCCCAAUGGCCCUUCUGCAUCUCUUCACCAGAGCUGCCCUCCAGCCAUGGCUGCAUAGCUAAACCACCAACAUCAAAGUGUUUUGUGAUGUUUUUUGGUUUUUGUUUUGUAGAAAGGUGGACAUUAAGUCAGAAAGCAAAUGGGAAGCAGAUGCAACCUGCACAGCUUUUUCCCUUUUAAUUCUUUUCUAGACAUCUUUCUCGCUGUACUGGCACUCUGCCUCAUCUCGGGGCAGGACCAAGUGUUUGCUAUUCGUGUGUCUCUUGCUAAGGUUGGCAGAGACAGCAUCACUCAGCCUGAUGUGUCCAGGCUGCUGCCCUGCUGAUAGAAUGUGACUGUCAUUGACGUGGGAGCCUCUUGCUUGCUGGCCCAUGAGGAAAUCACUGGUGCUGCUGCCAGGGUGUGUGAUGACUGCCAGCGGUGUCAGCAGAACUGAGGAGUGCUUGCUAAUUGUGCACCAUCAGAUGCUCUACAAGAGAUCCGCAGCCCUGAGAUGCUGCCAGAGGAGACCUUGGCCCUGGGAGUUCUGGCAGAGCUCAAGCACGAGGGAUUAUGAGCCUGUUUUCCCUCCAAUUGAUCUGGGACAAGCCAGAGCAGUUCACUGAGCUCUGCAAAUCCAGCCCAAAUGAGGAACACAAGUGGGAAUGGGAGAGCUCCUCUGCGGGGUCACCACCUCUCCUAGCUUUGCCUCCUGAGGGGCAUUGCUCCCUGCUGGCCCUCCCUGUUUGGUGUAAGCAGUAAGGGCAGCAUCUUCUGCUUUAUAAGCAGAACCGAUAAGACAGUCCCCAUCCCCUCCUGCAGCACCUUCUAUCUCUGGAAGCAUUUCAACCUGGCUCCUGGGCUGGUUGGCCCCAACUGCCUGGGCAGUUAAAUGUUCAUCUCAAGGCCAAAAGGACCUUUCCAAGCUGGGCAGGAGUGCCUCCAUCAGUUCCCUCUACAGUCCCAGGCUCCAGGAUGUGAAUAGGAAAGCUGAUUGAGAUGUGGAAGGAGCAUGAGCUGCUUCUCUCUGAUCAGCUCAACACCAGCACACAGUGCCUCUGUGUGGUGCUGAUGUGUCAACUCCCUCCUGAGAGUUUAAUUAAUCACCUUAAUUGUGUGGCUUCAUUUUUCCCUGGAGUUUCUCCUUAAGGGGCAGAUGAGGGUGAGAGAGUUAGAGAACAUUUCUCCUAACCAGCCAAAAGCUUUCCUUGCAGAGAUGCUCUGUAGCUCCCUAGAACCACAUUGCUCCAAAGACCCUUUUACCCUUGGGACUGUUUUGGCUAGAGGAGGCAGCAGAUAAAAGCCUAAGUGAAAAGCCCUGCAGGAGUGCUGUGGAUGUGUCAGGAGGGAUUGGGCUUGCUCAGUGUGGGUGGUAACACAUGAGAGUGGCUGCUGGCACCAGCUGUGGGGAAGGUGCUCACAGAUGUGGUACAAUCCCUGCUGCUGCCUGAUUUGGUGUGGCAUCUCUUAAUUUGUUUGUACUUGAAAUAUUUUUGCCCUGUUUGUCCUCGCUUCUGGGGAGAAAAAUGAAAUUGUGGUGUAUUACUGCAGCGGUGGCUGUAAAUGGAUUUUGUAGCUAUGUAGGUACAAAGUAUUAGCCUCAUAAAUUGUUUCAUCACUUUUCCUCUGUGGAAAAAUGAUCUGUCUAUCAACCCCCAAACAGGCAUGAAUAAAAAGAACUAUUUCUUUCAAAUGCAGUUCAGCAUUAUCAGAAGUAUGACACAGAGAUCCCAACAGGACUAUUUUUGCCUGCGCUUGAGUCUGUCUUACCGAAGGGAUGGCUGGAGGAGUGAAGUGUGUGGAGCCCUUGAGCGGCAUCACAACUACAAUAUAAGCCAGAUGCUGGCAACUGUUUUGCCUCAGUGGUGAUGGAUUUAUUCCAAAGGAGGUCUCACCAUCUCCAAGCUCUCCCAACUUGCCACCAAGACAGUUGUCAUUUCCAAAUGAUAAUUUCUGCUCUCUUUGGGGGGAAGAGGUACUGUUUGAGACUAUUUUGAGUUCCCAUUGCAUUCUCCACCGUGAGAACAGGCCCAGUUCCAGUUGGUGUUUUUUAUGGUCUGGAAGAAAAUGAUAAACGUUUCAGCAGACUCAUAAAUGUCAGCUUUGUGGCAUCCUGUGUUGUGGUUGGCGACGCGGUCACCUCUUCUUUGUAAGUCCUUGAGACUAUAAACAGAGGAAAGAGUUGGGAAUGGCCAAUUUAAGCUCUGAGAAGUCUGGAGUGCAACUAUGGCUUUUGGUGAUCCCAUCCAAAGACAAGGAUGGGUCAGGGCUGCUUUGUUAGCAAGUGUCAUCGUCCUGAAGGAAAGGACUGCAAGGCGGGACCGUCUGUGUUAUUGCUUGCCAUCAGGAAUGUGGUCUGUCUUACGUCUGAGAAACAAAGGAGUGAUUUGGGGGCAGCUGUAAUUGUGUUUUUGGAGCGAGUUCCUGUUCAGAUUUAACACUGUGACAUUAUGCUUCUAAUGUGUGCAAUUAAAACAGUAAAAAUAACAUCUUUGCCUGUAGUGGCUUGGUCAAGGAAUCAGACAUAUUUUCCUUUUCAAGGAAGAGGCAACUGCAAAGAGAACAGGGUGUAAGGCAGAAGGAUGUGUAUGAAGGGCAACUGAAAAAGAGGAGGAAAUGAAAGCAGGCAGGGCAAAGAGAAAAGUCAGAACACCUACAGGGAAAGUGGCAGUUUGUUCAUUCUGAACUCAUGGGCUUCUAGAUGCUGGCUUCUGAAGAUGUCCUUUUGUUUUUGGAGUCCAGCUGCAUCUCUGUUGCAUGCUGAAGGGCCUAUGUUCCUUUAUGUGUCCUGAUGAGCUUUACCCUUUUCUGACCCACUACACCAACUCCCAGGCUCUGUCUAGCAAGGCUGGAGCUGGCAGGACACAGGCUGAGCAAACAUCUCUGUGGAAUGUAUCUUUUGGAAAUAUCUUGCAAUUUGCCUACAUAGGACUUCAUUAGCCCUCAGAGCUAAAGGGCAGUGCUUUCCCAGUGCAGAGUAAAGCAGCCCCCAACCUGUGUCCUCCUGCCCCACAACUGGCUGUUGCUCCUACCUAUUUCACACCCAUAGGUUUGCAGGGAACAAACAACAGUUGAUCUGCCCAGUGAAGGAUGUUUCAGCAGGGAUUCCCUUGUUGGAUUUUAUUGGUAAAUACAGUGGCAUUUUAACCCAGCUCCUGCAGUGAGCUGUUCCUUUCCAUUGGUAACAUCCACACACAUUGCAUCCAUCGCCAUGCGGCCAGCUGAGGACUAGCACUAAUUUGCAUCCUACUCCAGGGCAAAUACAAUUUCUAGGGCAGCAUUAAAAUAUCCAGGCUAUUCAAGGCAGAUUUUGAUGUGAAGCAGUGAUCUGUCAGUCUCUCUAGCAGCAAAGAUAAGAGCAUUGUGCACUUCAGGGCACAGGGGCAGAAGGUCUUCAGUGAUGUGGCUACAAGUUAACAGCAUGGCUGGGUGCUGCUGUAGUGCUGUGGCAUGCAAUGGCUGUGGCCAUCAUUUCCAGUGCAAGGAUGUGCUGCAGCUAUCUGGGUGGCUGAUGAUGGGUGGAGAUGUGGAGGAAGUGGCCCCCAGCUGGAUCAGG